GGGCCCGUAGCUCAACGGUGGAGCAGGGGACUCAUAAUCCCUUGGUUGUAGGUUCGAAUCCUACCGGGCCCACCA
rnacentral:tRNA from 2 species